UUAACCUGUAGCUGGCCCCUCCCCUCUCAGCCUUUGGGAAGGGUCCACCCCCCUCUGCUAGACUGGCUGCAAAUGACCCACAAAACCCUUUAGGGUUUAUAGCUCCAGUCCAGAAGGUCACAGGGAGAUGGUUCUGGGACCAACAGAUCCGCCUGGGUUCCGGCUACAACUAGAGUCCAAACAUGGUGCCGCUAUUGGGUUUCUGUGGGGAGAUAUGGAUAUCUCACUUCCCUGGUAUUCCACCCUCAAACAAAUACCAUGGGCAUGUUCAGCGUGGCCA